UAAGAUCGAUACAAAAGGUUUCCCUCGCCCUACAUAAAUGGGAGCGCUCUCCUAUCCUCUGCUGCAAAUCAAUGGAUGUCUGCAGUCAGAAGGAGAGUCUGACACCGCUGCUCCGAAGAGCUGACCAUCUACAGCCCAGCAGGUCCUGUUUAAUGCUUCCAGUUUGAACUCCUGCAGAUCCCUCAUAAACAUUGUGUUCGUUAAAAGGCCACAGAAGAAGGAAUAAAGUGCGCUGGUUCCCCCUGUAACCUUGAGGAAUAAUUGCCAAUAUUUAGUGCUUUUAUAAAAAGCAAUCAAUCUUCCAUGGAUUUUCCCCCAGUAAUUGUACGGCUGCAACGUGGCCUUUCCUGAUGUGGUAAACCUACAAGUACCAAUGUUCCCUUGGUGACAAGGAUUGCUGCAACUUGUAGUUCCACAGCAGCAGGCGAGCCACAGAUUUGUCACCACCAGUAUUGGCUCGUGUCACUGGAUGCCUGUCUGCCAUUUCAUCUUGGAUGUCAUCUCGCCACCUCAAACUCAACAUUUCCAAAACCGAAUUAAUUAUUUUCCCACCAGCUAAGAGUAGUUACCAACCUGAUAUCUCUCUAACUGUUGACAAUGCAACUAUCCACCAUACCCCACAAGCUCGUUGCCUAGGUGUCACCCUUGACUCUGAACUGUCCUUUGUUCCACACAUUCAAUCUGUCUCUAAAUCAUGUUACAUGCACCUUAAAAACAUAUCCAAAAUACGUCCUUAUCUUACACAAGACACUGCAAAAACUCUAAUCCAUGCACUCAUCAUCUCCCGCAUUGAUUAUUGUAAUAGUCUCUUUACUGGUCUUCCCAAACAUAGGCUCUCACCACUUCAAUCCAUUUUAAAUGCAGCUGCGAGGCUAAUCUUCCUCGCCAGACGUUCUUCAUCUGCUGAUCCGCUCUGUCAGUCCCUCCAUUGGUUACCGGUAUUCUACCGUGUCAAAUAUAAAAUACGUUUACUUACAUACAAGGCUAUUAACCAAACUGCACCAUCAUACAUCUCCUCACUCAUCUCAAAAUAUCUCCCUACCAGACCCCUCCGCUCUGCACAAGAUCUGCGUCUCUCAUCCAGAUGUAUUACCUGUUCCCACUCAAAAUUACAGGACUUUACCCGGGCUUCACCCACUCUGUGGAAUGCCCUUCCACGCACAAUAAGACUCUCCUCUAGUCUCCAAACCUUUAAACGUUCUCUGAAAACUCAUCUCUUCAGACAAGCCUACCAAAUUUCAGACCCACACACAUAACCUUCACAGCUUCCCUAUCAAGUUACAUCCUCUCUGUACAGUCCACAUAACCUCACAUUUUGUCUUCCAACAUUGCUGGGUGAUCAUAUCAUAUACAACCCAUUAAGAACCUAGCAACCUGGGGAACCAUGAUGUAACAGGUAGCAUCUAUCCUUGUGUAUCAAUGCCUAUUUCCCUAUAGAUUGUAAACUUGCGAGCAGGGCCUUCCUACCUCUGUCUGUCUGUCUGUCUGUCUUUGGCCAGUUUUGUUCUAUAAUUGUUGUUCUAAUUGUAAAGCGCAACGGAAUAUGCUGCGCUAUAUAAGAAACUGCUAAUAAAUAAUAAAUAAUAAUAAAGUGAUGGAUUCACCUGUGCACAAGCAGAAACACCUGUAAAUCCAUUCAAGCCGGUUCUAUUGCACAUUGGUUCUCUAGAAAAAAAAAAAUCAACGCUCCUAGGUGCAACACACCACUGAGAGGUUAAAAAUAAAUUCAAAAUAAUUUAUAAGGUCAGAUCAAAGAUGUCACCCUAAAGGGUUUGCG